rnacentral:rRNA from 1 species
CCUCGAGGUGUUGCCUGAGUACGGCGAGUGUAGCGGCAAAAGCUCAAAUUUGAAAUCUGGCACAUUCGGUGUCCGAGUUGUAAUUUGAAGAAGGUAACUUUGGAGUUGGCUCUUGUCUAUGUUCCUUGGAACAGGACGUCACAGAGGGUGAGAAUCCCGUGCGAUGAGAUGCCCAAUUCUAUGUAAAGUGCUUUCGAAGAGUCGAGUUGUUUGGGAAUGCAGCUCUAAGUGGGUGGUAAAUUCCAUCUAAAGCUAAAUAUUGGCGAGAGACCGAUAGCGAACAAGUACAGUGAUGGAAAGAUGAAAAGAACUUUGAAAAGAGAGUGAAAAAGUACGUGAAAUUGUUGAAAGGGAAGGGCUUGAGAUCAGACUUGGUAUUUUGCGAUCCUUUCCUUCUUGGUUGGGUUCCUCGCAGCUUACUGGGCCAGCAUCGGUUUGGAUGGUAGGAUAAUGACUAAGGAAUGUGGCUCUACUUCGGUGGAGUGUUAUAGCCUUGGUUGAUACUGCCUGUCUAGACCGAGGACUGCGUCUUUUGACUAGGAUGUUGGCAUAAUGAUCUUAAGCCACCCGUCUAAAAAAAGGGGGAAAAAAACAACCCC